rnacentral:piRNA from 1 species
UGCCUAUCUAGGAAUGAUUGUCAGUUUA